rnacentral:tRNA from 1 species
GCUGGCUUAGCUCAGUGGCAGAAGCGGCUGCUUUACACGCAGUAGGUCACAGGUUCGAUCCCUGUAGCUAGCA